UACGAGGGGUCCUAGCGUUGUUCGGAAUCAUUGGGCGUAAAGCGGAUGUAGGUGGCUUAGCAAGUCAGAUGUGAAAACCCAGGGCUUAACCCUGGACGUGCAUUUGAUACUGCUGAGCUUGAAUACGAGAGAGGGUAGUAGAAUUCCUGGUGUAGUGGUGAAAUACGUAGAUAUCAGGAGGAAUACCGGUGGCGAAGGCGGCUACCUGGCUCGAUAUUGACACUCAGAUCCGAAAGCGUGGGGAGCAAACAGG
rnacentral:misc_RNA from 1 species